GAACUGGAAGAUAAGAUAGAAAGCCAGAAAAGACACAUUAAGGAAAUAGAAGAAAAGCUUUUAUUCUAUGGCCAUGAAGACAUCAAAACCUCUAGAGAACAGGUUCUAAAAAGACCUAGAGGAGCAUGAAAAUGAGCUGAAUGUACAAUAUGGAAAGCAUGUUCAAGUACGACAAGAAGCAGUCAAUUGGAAAGUAAACAGAGAA